AACGCACCUUGCGCCCUUUGGUAUUCCGAAGGGCACACCUGUUUGAGUGUCAUUAAUUCCUCAACCCUAUCAUUUUUUAAUUAAUUUGUUAGUGGUUGGAUGUUGAGCGUUGCUGGACUUUUGAGUUCAGCUCGCUUUAAAUUUAUGAGCAGGCUCUUAUAUUUUCGGACUGACUCAACGUGAUAAGAAAUUUCGUUGAGGACGCUUUAAUGCGGCCGAAUUGUAGGGAAAUGCCGCUACUAGUUCACUCUUAUAUUUUAGACCUCAAAUCAGGUGGGACUACCCGCUGAACUUAA
rnacentral:misc_RNA from 1 species